UCGGGAAUAUUGCGCAAUGGAGGAAACUCUGACGCAGUGACGCCGCGUGCAGGAAGAAGGUUUUCGGAUUGUAAACUGCUUUAGACAGGGAAGAACAAGGACAGUACCUGUAGAAUAAGCUCCGGCUAACUACGUGCCAGCAGCCGCGGUAAUACGUAGGGAGCGAGCGUUAUCCGGAUUUAUUGGGUGUAAAGGGUGCGUAGACGGGAGAACAAGUUAGUUGUGAAAUCCCUCGGCUUAACUGAGGAACUGCAACUAAAACUAUUUUUCUUGAGUGCUGGAGAGGAAAGUGGAAUUCCUAGUGUAGCGGUGAAAUGCGUAGAUAUUAGGAGGAACACCAGUGGCGAAGGCGACUUUCUGGACAGUAACUGACGUUGAGGCACGAAAGUGUGGGGAGCAAACAGG
rnacentral:rRNA from 2 species